rnacentral:rRNA from 1 species
GAUGAACGCUGGCGGCAUGCCUAAUACAUGCAAGUCGAGCGAACGGACGAGAAGCUUGCUUCUCUGAUGUUAGCGGCGGACGGGUGAGUAACACGUGGAUAACCUACCUAUAAGACUGGGAUAACUUCGGGAAACCGUAGCUAAUACCGGAUAAUAUUUUGAACCGCAUGGUUCAAAAGUGAAAGACGGUCUUGCUGUCACUUAUAGAUGGAUCCGCGCUGCAUUAGCUAGUUGGUAAGGUAACGGCUUACCAAGGCAACGAUGCAUAGCCGACCUGAGAGGGUGAUCGGCCACACUGGAACUGAGACACGGUCCAGACUCCUACGGGAGGCAGCAGUAGGGAAUCUUCCGCAAUGGGCGAAAGCCUGACGGAGCAACGCCGCGUGAGUGAUGAAGGUCUUCGGAUCGUAAAACUCUGUUAUUAGGGAAGAACAUAUGUGUAAGUAACUGUGCACAUCUUGACGGUACCUAAUCAGAAAGCCACGGCUAACUACGUG